CGAGGCCUGGGCCUGGAAGUGGAGCACCGUGUCCACUGUGUUUUAUUGGUUAAAGCCAAGUCAUAAGCAUAAGAGGAGUCCAGAUUCAAGGAGGGGAAAAGGAUUCCACGUUUGGAUGAGGAAGCUGAAGAGUCACUUUGGAAAGGAUAUUGGCACAGGGAGGAGUGGUUGUCUUUGCAAUGUCCCCGAUCAUAUAAUUUACAUCAUAAGCUAGGUCAGUUUUGAGAAUGAAAGGGAAUGCUUUUAAGAAUGACCUCAAGACAAUGAAUAUAAACCAGAACUGCCCAAGUGUUGCCCAUUCUUCCUGACUCCCAACCCAAGUCUCCUUUUACUUUCCCCGUGCUGCCUUAUGACACUAAGAAGAAGCCACUGAAACUGGCAGAGGACAGACCUCGAAUCUGAAUCCAAGCCAAAGACCAGCGUGAAUGAUAUUUCUGGUGUCCAGGACUGCCAGUGCUCAAAACUGUGUUGGUACUCCUCCUUUGAAGAUGGAUGAACACACUGAAUAACCAUCUUUUUGUCUUGUCUUUUUGCAAGAGAAACUUGAAGUGUGAGACUGUUUUUCUUGGAUGGGCCAAAAAAGGUCUUCCUUUUUCACCUUCCCCUUCUCACCUACCGCCUACCUUGGUUUCCAAGAAGACUGCUCUGGACAGUGACUCUCACUUGGAUGUUUAAUUUCUGUGUGUCCUUGGAAAAAGGCGCCAGCCUUCCCCUUACUAGGUAAAGACGUCUUAUCUAGAAGCAGAGGGGUCAUAACCUUACCUGAUGUCCUGUUCAGUUGUCUUGUUCUCCUUCAAAUUGCCCUCCCCCCUUUCUUGGCCUGCUUUAGCUGUGUGUACCUGUGAGAGCAGAGCCCUUUCUUGCUGGUGAAGCCCUCACAGACCACUCUUUUUCCCUAACAUCUGCGCUUAAGGAUUUGGUUGGAACAAUUAGCUCCCAAAGGACUUCUGUCCUGAGUAGACUGUCUCCUUGUUUCCUGGGUGUUUGUCUUCUCCACAGCCGACAAGAAGAUUCUAAACUCUGUGAGGGCUGCUGUGUCUCCCUCAACCAUGUCUCUACACAGGUCACAGACUCAACACUUUCUUACUGAUUCUUUCAGUUG
rnacentral:lncRNA from 1 species